CAUGGGGUGGCGAAUCCUCCUCCUGCUCAUCUCGGGGGUCCUGGUCCUGACCGAGACUCGGGCGGGCCCCCACUCCCUGAGGUAUUUCGGCACCGCCGUGUCCCGGCCCGGCCGCGGGGAGCCCCGCUUCAUCUCUGUCGGUUACGUGGACGACACGCAGUUCGUGCGGUUCGACAGCGACGCCCCGGAUCCGAGGAUGGAGCCGCGGGCGCGGUGGGUGGAGCGGGAGGGGCCGGAGUAUUGGGAUCGGAACACGCGGAGAGUCAAGGACGCCGCACAGACUUUCCGAGUGAACCUGAACACCCUGCGCGGCUACUACAACCAGAGCGAGGCCGGGUCUCACACCGUCCAGGUGAUGUACGGCUGUGAUGUGGGGCCUGACGGGCGUCUCCUCCGCGGGUAUGAGCAGCACGCCUACGACGGCAGAGAUUACCUCGCCCUGAACGAGGACCUGCGCUCCUGGACCGCGGCGGACGCGGCGGCUCAGAUCUCCAAGCGCAAGUUAGAGAAGGAAGGUGUUGCGGCGCGUGUGAGGAUCUACCUGGAGGGCCGGUGCGUGGAGUCGCUCCGCAGAUACCUGGAGACCGGGAAGGACACGCUGCUGCGCGCAGACCCUCCAAAGGCACAUGUGACCCGACACCCCCAUCUCUGACCGUGACGUCACCCUGAGGUGCUGGGCCUUGGGCUUCUACCCUGAGGAGAUCUCACUGACCUGGAAGCACAAUGGGGAGGACCAGACCCAGGACAUGGAGCUAGUGGAGACCAGGCCUUCAGGGACGGGACCUUCCAGAAGUGGGCGGCCCUGGUGGUACCUUCUGGAGAGGAACAGAGAUACACAUGCCGUGUGCAGCAUGAGGGCUUCAGGAGCCCCUCACCCUGAGAAUGGGAAUCUCCUCAGCCCUCCGUCCUCACCAUGGGCAUCAUUGUUGGCCUGGUCCUCCUUAUGGUGGCUGUGGCGGCUGGAGCUGUGAUCUGGAGGAAGGAGCACUCAGGUGAAAAAGGACAGAUCUACACACCAGGCUGCAAGCAGUGACAGUGCCCAGGGCUCUGAUGUGUCUCUCACGAUUCCUAAAGUGUGAGAUGCUGCCUUGUGGGGACUGGGUGAUGCUGCAUCCGCUAUGUGACAUCAGAUCCCCAGACCCUCUUUCUGCAGCUGCAUCUGAAUGUGUCUGUGCCUAGUAGCAUAACAUGAGAAGCUGGGGAGACUGAUUACCCUGCCCACUGCGCCCACUCCCGCCCUUACCUGUGUUCUCCUCCCUGAUAUACUGUCCUGUUCCAGCAGAGACGGGGCUGGGCCGUCUCAAUCCCUGUCUUUGCUUCAUAUGCACUGAGUAAUGAUGUCUUAUUUCCUCUUUGAAAAUAAAAUCUGUAUAUAU